rnacentral:rRNA from 1 species
AUUGAACGCUGGCGGCAUGCCUUACACAUGCAAGUCGAACGGCAGCACGGGUGCUUGCACCUGGUGGCGAGUGGCGAACGGGUGAGUAAUAUAUCGGAACGUACCUUAUUGUGGGGGAUAACGCAGCGAAAGCUGUGCUAAUACCGCAUAAUCGCUAAGGGGGAAAGCGGGGGACCGUAAGGCCUGGCGCCAUUAGCGCUGCCGAUACCUGAGUAGCUAGUUGGUGAGGUAGAGGCUCCCCAAGGCAACGAUCAGUAGCUGGUCUGAGAGGACGAUCAGCCACACUGGGACUGAGACACGGCCCAGACCCCUACGGGAGGCAGCAGUGGGGAAUUUUGGACAAUGGGGGCAACCCUGAUCCAGCAAUGCCGCGUGAGUGAAGAAGGCCUUCGGGUUGUAAAGGUCUUUUGUCAGGGAAGAAACAGCAGCUCUAACACAGUUUGCGAAUGACGGUACCUGAAGAAUAAGCACCGGCUAACUACGUGCCAGCAGCCGCCGUAA